rnacentral:siRNA from 1 species
UGCUAGAAAUACGACGAGAACAUG